UUCAAUGCUUGGGAAGAAGGGAUCCCUAUUCUGAUCACAAUGGACAUGUAUUUAUAGGCUUAUGCAUUGCUUUUCACACACUUGAAAAUUUUGCCAAAUUUAGCAACAUUGGUGCAUGGAUGCAUAGGAAAUGAUUUAGGCCUAAUCCAUGAUGUAAUCUCACUCUAAUUCAUGCACAAUGGAUCCUGAAAUAAUAACAUGUAAGCAUGCAAAAGGAAAUGGUCAUUUGAAUUCAAAUCUUG
rnacentral:lncRNA from 1 species